AGCGAACGCUGGCGGCAGGCCUAACACAUGCAAGUCGAACGAAGUCUUCGGACUUAGUGGCGGACGGGUGAGUAACACGUGGGAACGUACCUUUUGGUUCGGAACAACUCAGGGAAACUUGAGCUAAUACCGGAUGAGCCCUUAGGGGGAGAGAUUUAUCGCCGAAAGAGCGGCCCGCGUUAGAUUAGCUAGUUGGUGAGGUAAAGGCUCACCAAGGCUACGAUCUAUAGCUGGUCUGAGAGGAUGAUCAGCCACACUGGGACUGAGACACGGCCCAGACUCCUACGGGAGGCAGCAGUGGGGAAUCUUGCGCAAUGGGCGAAAGCCUGACGCAGCCAUGCCGCGUGAAUGAUGAAGGUCUUAGGGUUGUAAAAUUCUUUUACCAGGGACGAUAAUGACGGUACCUGGAGAAAAAGCCCCGGCUAACUUCGUGCCAGCCGCCGCGGUAACAC
rnacentral:rRNA from 1 species